rnacentral:rRNA from 1 species
UACAGAGGGUGCAAGCGUUGUUCGGAAUUACUGGGCGUAAAGCGCGUGUAGGCGGCUUGAUCAGUCAGAUGUGAAAUCCCUCGGCUUAACCGAGGAACUGCAUCUGAUACUGUCAGGCUAGAGUGUCGGAGGGGAUGGCGGAAUUCCUGGUGUAGAGGUGAAAUUCGUAGAUAUCAGGAGGAACAUCCGUGGCGAAGGCGGCCAUCUGGAAGACAACUGACGCUGAGACGCGAAAGCGUGGGUAGCAAACAGG